CUCAGAGUGAACGCUGGCGGCAGGCCUAAUACAUGCAAGUCGAACGGCAGCACAGCAGAGCUUGCUCUGUGGGUGGCGAGUGGCGGACGGGUGAGGAAUACAUGGGAAUCUGCCCAGUCGUGGGGGAUAACGUAGGGAAACUUACGCUAAUACCGCAUGCGCCCUUCGGGGGAAAGCCGGGACCUUCGGGCCUGGCGCGAUUGGAUGAGCCCAUGUCGGAUUAGCUAGUUGGCGGGGUAAUGGCCCACAAGGCGACGAUCCGUAGCUGGUCUGAGAGGAUGAUCAGCCACACUGGAACUGAGACACGGUCCAGACUCCUACGGGAGGCAGCAGUAGGGAAUAUUGGACAAUGGGCGCAAGCCUGAUCCAGCCAUGCCGCGUGAGUGAAGAAGGCCCUCGGGUUGUAAAGCUCUUUUGUCCGGAAAGAAAAGCGCCGGGUUAAUACCCUGGUGUCCUGACGGUACCGGAAGAAUAAGCACCGGCUAACUUCGUG
rnacentral:rRNA from 1 species